UCAGACGAUGCGUCAUGCAUAUCAAUAAGCGGAGGAAAAGAAACUAACAAGGAUUCCCUUAGUAACGGCGAGUGAAGCGGGAAGAGCUCAAAUUUGAAAUCUUCAAGGUUUUACCUUGACGAAUUGUAGUUUAAAGAAGUGUUUUCUGCUGAAGUUUUGGUAAAAGUUCUUUGGAAUAGGACAUCAUAGAGGGUGAGAAUCCCGUAUUUGACCAUUAUUUUCAGCUUUGUGAUACACUUUCAAAGAGUCGGAUUGUUUGGGAAUGCAGUCCAAAAUGGGUGGUAAAUUUCAUCUAAAGCUAAAUAUUGGCGAGAGACCGAUAGCGAACAAGUACCGUGAGGGAAAGAUGAAAAGAACUUUGAAAAGAGAGUUAAACAGUACGUGAAAUUGUCAAAAGGGAAGCGUUUGACACCAGUGUUGUUUUCUCGAAAAUCAAUUAAAAAUGGCUCGAUUUUGUAUUGCUUGAGACCUUAAAAGCUCACUGUACAUUUUUCGUGUCCUUUUUAAUGCACUUUUCGUUUAACAAGUCAACAUCAGUUUCUUUUGUUGUAAAAGGGUCAUUGGAAGGUGGCUUUCUUUUCGGAGAAAGUGUUUAUAGCCUUUGGCCUCUGCAAUCGGAGAGACUGAGGUCUGCAGCGUAGACUCUUCGGGGUUAGAUACAUUUGUGCUAAGUUAUAGCUUUUUAUAGACAACUUGUUGACUAUAAUUAGUCUUGUAGCUUACUCGCUUAUGCUAUUUUACCUACGCUUAGGAUGUUGAACUACUGAGACAUAG
rnacentral:rRNA from 1 species